GGAAUAUCUAAUUCUUAAAAUUAGUUUGUUGGAAGAAAAGAUACAAGAUGAGGCUCCUCCACAGCCCCUUACCUUCACCAUCUCCACCAUUGUUAACCUCUUUUUCACCAAUUAAAGCUUCAAUCUCUCCCAAAAAAUCAUCUUUCGUCUCUCAUCAUGAACCCCUUCAGCAACUUCUCUCAACUGGGGUUUCACUUGUUCUUUCUUUGGGGCUUCUUGUUUCUGCUCCUAUUUCUAUUGCUUUGGAAUCCCCUUCACUUCAAUCUUCUAACUCAUCUUUGGAGGUGAUUUGCCGAGAGAACGAGGGGGAGGAGGUGUAUGAGAAAGACACUGAAGUAUCCAAAGUGGUGAGCAAUGAAAACAUUGUGGAAGAAGCUUGGCAGAUUGUCAAUGACAGCUUUCUUAACACCAGCGAUCGUCGUUCUUGGUCUCCUGAAUCGUGGCUUCAAAAGAAAGAUGACAUCUUAAGUUCAUCAAUUCAGACAAGGUCAAAAGCACAUGAUAUCAUCAAGCGUAUGUUGGCUAGCUUGGGUGACCCCUAUACACGGUUUCUUUCUCCUGAACAGUUCUCCAAGAUGGCUAGAUAUGAUAUGACUGGGAUUGGAGUUAACCUCAGGGAUGUUCCAGAUGGCAAUGGAGGUUCAAAACUGAAGGUUUUAGGGCUCCUAUUGGAUGGCCCUGCCCAUAAUGCCGGUGUACGACAGGGAGAUGAACUGAUAUCUGUGAAUGGGGUGGAUGUGCUGGGUAAAUCUUCCUUUGAAGCAUCUUCACUGUUACUAGGCCCAAAUGGGACAUCUGUGAACAUCAUGGUUAAGCAUGGAAAUUGUGGACCUGUCCAGUCCAUUGAUGUGGAGAGGCAAUCUAUUGCUAAGACACCGGUUUUUUAUCGGCUGGAUCAGAUUGAAAAUGGCUCUACUUCUGUUGGUUAUGUGCGCCUGAAGGAGUUCAAUGCGUUGGCCAGAAAAGAUUUGGUUACUGCAAUUAAGCGACUCGAAGGCAUGGGUGCCUCAUCUUUUGUUCUUGAUCUCCGAGAUAACCUUGGUGGACUAGUGCAGGCUGGCAUUGAAAUCGCAAAACUCUUUCUGAAUGAAGGAGACACGGUGAUUUACACUGUUGGAAGGGAUCCACAGAAUACAAGGAAUAUUGUUGCAGAAGCUCCACCUCUUAUUACAGCUCCAGUAAUUGUAAGGUUUUGGUUAACAAAAGUACUGCAAGUGCUAGUGAAAUUGUUGCAACAGCACUUCACGACAAUUGCAGAGCUGUUCUUGUGGGAGACAAGACAUAUGGCAAGGGGCUGAUUCAGUCUGUAUUUGAGCUGCCCGAUGGGUCGGGCGUGGUUGUAACAAUUGGGAAGUAUGUCACACCAAAUCACAUGGAUAUUAAUGGCAAUGGAGUUGAACCAGAUUUCAGGAAUUUUCCUGCUUGGAAUGAAGUCAACAAUCGUUUGUCAAAGUGCCACAAACAACAAGAUGGAUAAGCUCGCUCGUUUUCCUUUCAGUGUCAUUCCGAUUCAUCAUCAUGACAGAUGAAUAACUUGGGGUAGUCCUUCGGUCGUGCAACACUCAGUUUGAUAUGAUAUUAACAGAUGUUAACCUUCACAGUCGCUUAGCUUCACCCUUAGCCUGAGCAUCACCAGGAAGAAACAAAGUACGUAAUGCAUACUCUUCUAUUGCCUAGACAUCCUCUUGAAGAACAAAUCAGAUCGAUAUCAGCAACUUUAAUCUAUCAAGAUGCAGAACUGGCCAUUGGAUGAUAAAAUUAGUAGGCCAGAACCAGCUGAGUUGUGUCAUUGUAUUUAUUUUACUGAUAGCAGGUGCCUAUGGAUGAUAGUAGCACAAGUUUUGGACAUAAAUAACUAGCAAUUUACCUGAUACAACCAACAGUUCAUAUUGUACACACAUUUUGAGUAAAUGUAAAUCAAUUUGCGCCUCA